AAAUGGACAUGAACAUAUACUUGAGAAGCUCAGUGAAAUAGAGAAGGAUAUAGAGGAAUUUCUACAAAUUUGGCAGCACAUAGUAGUAUGUAUACAAGUGUUGCUAUUCUGACUCAAACAAGUCCAUAAAAAGGGAACUGUACUGGGCCAUUACCUAGCACAAAAUGAAACUGGUUUCCAAAUUCAAGUUGAAAGUUACAGUGCUCACAAGUCAAUGUUGAUGGCUCAGGUAAAAGUAGAACAUCUAUAAUGCUGCCUAAGUUAUAGAAAACAAACAGAACCUUGUCUUCUUCAUUGUGUUUGGGUCAUUCUGACAUCACUUGGCAUUCUUUUAUUGACCCUUUGCUUAGUUCCACUAACCAGUCUCCAGAAUCAACAAACGGCAGCAUAAUAACAAUCAUAAACACGUUUCUUUCCAGCAGGAUUAGCAGACCUGAAUCGAAUAUCGAAUCAAAUCCUAGGAAGGAAUGAAUGUCAAGAAAAAAGAGCAAAAGGAAGAAACAAAAAAGAAAACAAGAACACAGCAAAGUGUUGUUCAGAAUAAAAUAAUAAAACAAACAAAAAAGGAAUGGAUUGGCUAAUGGCUUGUGGGUUGGGUCCAUUUUGGGGUCUCAAACAAGAACGUCAUUAUAAUAAUAAACAAUAACAAUUUGGUUGUAACUCCAUGAUUUCAAACUAAAGAAAUGAAAUUUGGUUGUAGAUAGGUCUGUUUCAAUGCAUAAUACAGGGUCCAGAACAGGCAAAGAGCACAAGCAAAACAAAAUAAUAAUAAUAAUUUUUAAUUAGAAAACAGAGUUAGCCGGCUGUUGGCAAUUCAAAUUCAUCCCCAAUCACAAUCCGCUAGUUCUCUCUCCCAACCUUAUUUGCAGACCUCAACCAAACCGUGACAUACAAGAAAAUAAGUUAAAUGACUAAAAACAAAGAAGAGGCAUAGUCUCUAUUUCUCAUGCUUGUCUGUAGCCUGAAAAUGGGUUAAAAAAAAAACAUCAAAUCCUCCAAAUGAACAGCACCCCUAAACCUUAAAAUAUGCUCUCUGCCGUCUCCUUUCAAAAUUUGCAGCUAACCCUCUCAUUUUUUUAAGCACACAAGUCUAGUGGUUCCAUCCUUUAUGUUUUUGGUCAAAGAACAAGCAUAAAUCAUACUCGUAUUUCUCUCAGUUUUCUCUCUCACGCUCAAAACACAUUUUCAGGCACAAAAUGACUCUUGAAGAACCAGAACCAAACCUCAUCUCAGAUCAUGUAUUGGAUUGGUUAGAAGAUUCAGUAUCUUUCCUGCCUGCCUUCUUGGAUGAUUCUUACAACUCCCCUGAUAUAAAUAGCUAUCAAUGGUGGAAUCAAACUGAAGAAAUUUGCCAAGAUCCAAUUAACACUAAUACUAAUCUCAGCAGCACCACCUUCAAUGCAGAUUCCACCAGCCUUAUAGGAGCAAGUAAUCCCACCUCUUCCAAUCAUCAACAACCUUCCAAUUCUUCUAGGAAACGGGAAGCUCCCGAUGACCCAGUUCCUAAAACAUCCCAGAAUCAUCAUCAGAGAAAGAAACAGAAUGAAGAUCAAGAUGGUGACGUGGUGGCAGGGAAAAGAUCAAAUGGGAACAAGAAAGGAAAUAGUAAAAGCACAGGAAAUAAUGGGAAUAACGGCAAUAACAAGGAAGGAAGAUGGGCAGAGCAAUUGCUUAACCCUUGUGCAGCUGCUAUCACUACUGGAAACUUGUCGCGUGUUCAACACCUUCUUUAUGUUCUCCAUGAGCUUGCUUCAUCCAGCGGAGAUGCUAACCACCGGCUGGCGUUUUAUGGUCUUCGAGCUCUGACUCACCACCUAUCAUCUUCAGAAACCUCUGCCUAUGUAGGGCCUAUAUCAUUUGCUUCCACAGAGCCAAGGUUUUUUCAACGAUCUCUAAUCAAAUUCUAUGAGGUUAGUCCUUGGUUUGCCUUUCCUAAUAACAUUGCAAAUUCUUCAAUCCUUCAAAUUCUUGCUCAAGAACUAGAUCACAAGCGCACUCUUCAUAUUCUUGAUAUUGGGGUCUCCCACGGUGUGCAAUGGCCCACGCUUCUUGAGGCCUUAACUCGGCGACCUGGAGGACCUCCUCCUCAGGUACGCAUCACAGUCAUCACUGCCACCGUCGAAGAUGAUCAAAACACGGAGACCCCAUUUUCAGAAGGACCUCCAGGAGAUAAUUUUUCCCCAAGACUACUCAGUUUUGCCAAGUCCAUGAAUAUCAACUUGCAAAUCAAUAGACUUGAUAACCACCUAUUACAAAAUCUCAAUGGAAAAAUCAUUAACACCGACCCUGAAGAAAACUUAAUAGUUUGUGCUCAAUUUAGACUCCAUCGUCUAAAUCACAACACCCCAGAUGAGAGAACCGAGUUCUUGAGGGUUUUGAGAGACCUGGACCCGAAAGGAGUGAUACUUAGUGAAAACAACACAGAUUGCAUCUGCAACAGUUGUGGGCAUUUUGCAACAGGAUUUUCAAGAAGAGUGGAUUACUUAUGGAAGUUUUUGGACUCAACAAGCUCAGCUUUCAAAGGCAGAGAGACUGAAGAAAGAAGAGUAAUGGAAGGAGAGGCAGCCAAGGCAUUAACGAAUCGUGGAGAGAUGAAUGAAGGGAAAGAGAAAUGGUGUGAAAGGAUGAGAGGGGUAGGGUUUGUAGGUGAGGUUUUUGGAGAGGAUGUCAUUGAUGGAGGUCGGGCUUUGUUAAGGAAGUACGACAAUAACUGGGAGAUGAGAAUAGAAGAAAAAGAUGAGUGUGUUGGGUUAUGCUGGAAAGGGCAGCCGGUUUCUUUCUGUUCAUUGUGGAAGUCGGGCAUGAAUAUUAAAGGGAAAUUCUAGUUGAGAACAGUUGCUUUGCAGCUCCCCUCUCCUCUCCUGUUUUAAGCUUUUCAUAUGUAAAUUCAAGUGAGAAAAAAGUGAUGUGUAGGCUGGUUUUUGCAGUCCUCUGUUUUUGUUAGAUGCUUGAUUUUGUUUUACCCAUCUUUUUGCUUGAAAUAGAAAGUAAAAGGAAAAUUGCAUUAAAAUUUGAUUCUGA
rnacentral:misc_RNA from 1 species